AGAUUUAUAGCCUACUUUAAAAAAAAACAAACACAUGCAACAAUUUUAAAAUAUUAAAUGUGUUAUCAGGUAUGCAGUUCAUCUCAGGAGCCUGGAGGACAACCACUUGUAAUACUAGUAAAAUCCACUAGGGGUCAGUGCAGCCUAAAGAAAGGUGCCUCCAUCUGCUCUCGCACUGUGCACAGUCAUGAUAAUGUUAUUGUUCAUGAUGAUGAUGAAAGAUCCAAACAAUAACAUAUAACUCAAGCGGUGCAAAGCUCACAGGCACAUUUUACAAUUAGGGCAAUCAAGCAUCAUCUGCACAGAACGAUGUUGUGGAACAUUGUUAUAUAAUUGCAAAAUGGGUCCGUGGAUUGAGUAUUUAUCUGGCAAUUGGAUUUUCCGUUCUGAAACCGGUAUUGAAAAAAAAACGAGAGGUUAUUUGAUUUUCGUUUUAAAAUACAAAAAUUAAAUUUUAAAUACAAGGCGUUUUUCCUUUUCAUGAUCAAAAUGGAUGUACGAAAUAUUAAAAAUGCUUUGAUUUUCAUUUUAUAUUUAGAAUAACAAAAAAGUGAAAUCAGUAAGAGACAGAAACGAAAAAAGGUCCGUUUUUUCAUUUUCUGAGACCGGAAGUGGUCAUCAGCAAGUGUGGAGCCAAACUGAGUACGGUGCAUAGACUGUAUAUAUUUUUUUUUCGUUAGUUUUCAUGGUCAAAAUGAGAGAUCAGGUGGCCGAUCCUAAAAUAAAUCAAUAUUGAAUUUUUUAUAGAGCGUUAAAGUUUUGCGAAGCCAGGGGGCGGGGCUACUUGCUUGACAGUCUGGUCUGGAAUGAUUGACAGGUCCUAUGGAGGAGGCAGCAGAGACUCUGUUCUCCUUGUUUGGAUUAAUUCUGAUAUAAUAACUGUUGGUUUAUUUAUCGGUGCAGCAGCAGAACAUUUUCCACAGACAGUUUUCCUGCCCGUUGGCUUGUUUUAACCAGUUUUCUGCCUUCGGCUGAUUCUACCAGCAGACACUGAAAGGACUCUGAUAGUUCGAGUGAAAGUAGCAGUUCCUCCUUAAGGUCAGAGAUUGCAGCAUCUGAGGGCCUCUUGAAAGGAAACCGUAGUUGAUGAAGGCGUUCUGGAGCAGGACCAGAAAGACCACGACCAAGCAGCCUUGAGAUCUUAGGCAGCGUCUCCCUCAGAUCCACCAACCACUGGAACACAUCUCCAAAGUUCUGCCGGGCCAGCUCAGCUUCCCCUCAGAAGAAGUGCUGCCACCUGCCAGAUGAAGGAGCCUUUUGAGAGGCAGCUGGCAUCGUGAUUGGACUGUACUUUGGUCUGUUCCAAUCCAGCUUCAGCUCCAGAGACGGCAGGCGGGACGAGUCAACGGAGGCCGGGUGGACGAAGGCAUGCAGCUGAGUACAAUCCAGAAAACAACAGAGGAGGAGUGCAGCGGCCCAGGGCCAGAACAAAGAGAGUAGUCAAAGUCAAAGUCAGCUUUAUCGUCAAUUCUUCAAUAUGUACAUGACAUACCAAGAAUCGAAAUUACGUUAUGUUACGAGUGGCAUAGUAUGUCUCUUAGAAAACAUCAUAGUAUAGCCUUUGGAAUGAAAAAAACGCCAUAAUAUACAUCGUAUAUUAUACAAAUAACAAGUCAAAGGAAAGAGACAUACAUUGUAGAAUUGUAGUAAUUGUGGGCUAACUGAUUUACUGAUUAUCAGUAUGUUAUUUUUUACAGAUUUACGGUAAUAAAUAAAUUUAAAAAUGGCGCUACUUUGGCUCUGAAUCUUAAUCUACCUGUGGUCGCUCUGUCUUCUGGAGUGAUUUGAUUGGUUAUACGUCACGGAUAAAACUCCUUUAACUUAACAUCUGUAAACAAAACAAAAACGUAUCAACAAAGUUUUCUGUUAAAGUUUGUGUUCUUGUAAGUUUAACUCCAAGAUUUUAAAUACUUUCAUUUACUGCAAAUUAAUAUCUACUCCAAGUGUCUCACUAAUAAUCAUUAUCAGCCUUAAAAACCCACAAAACACCCCUCUAUUCUCCACCACACUUAGUACAGUCCGGUUCCCCCUUCUAUAAAUCUGCUUGGAAUCGUCCACUUCCUGUUUGUCAAAGUGGCCUUCUACCUGGACAGGUUUUGUUGGAGCUCAUGCAACAAACAUUUUGGGUAACUGCACUUUAAUAUGGAUGGAUGACACUGAAUUAGAGUCUUUUUUCAUGAGACUGAGUUAAGAUGUGUAGCUCUGUCAUUAAAUAGGAAAUUAUUUCUCAGAAUUCACAGAGAAAAGUCUGAAAUGUUUGCUAGGUUAGCGUCCCACAUGUUCUUUGGCUCAGCUAAAGCUAACUCUCUCCAACUUCUGGAUCUCUUGAGUUGCUUGUUGUUAAAAUAUCUUGCUAGAGGUGCUGAAGCUCAGAAAGUCUGAGAUGUUUGUUCAGAAUAAGCUCAUUCUCAAGUCUUAUCUGAACUGUCCUCUUUUGUUCUUUCUCUAAACUUAGGAGUUAAUGACAGAGCAGCACAUGCAGACUCAGUCUCAUUUAUGUAGAGAUUAAACUUCAGUGUCAUUCAUUGAUGUUAAAGUGCAGUUUUUCAAAUGUUUGUUGCACAUGCUCCCGACCAAACCAGUCCAGGUGGAAGACGAUGUGAAGAGAAAGCUCCAGAGGAUGAAUAUCACACAUUUACAUUGUAAAUAAAUGUCCUUUAAUUAGACAUUGUCAUGCAAAAGUUGGAUUUCCAUUUAAUGAUGUUCAAAUCUUUGUUGAGUGUUUUGUUGAUGUUGGUUUCUAAAUGUUUUCUGAUACUCGGCCCCAAAGAUUAAAACCUUCUACGGCUCACAAGCUGCAACAAUUCACACAUUAUCAACUAUCUUUCUGACUAAACUAAGAUAAAAAGUGAAAAACUGCCUGAUUCCUGCAUCAUGAAUGUAAAUCUUUUUGGUUUUUAUGACAGUAAACUGAAUAUAUUUGGGUUUGACAUUUUAUAAACCAAAACAAUAAAUGAAUUACUGGAGAAAACAACAGAUUAAUGGACAAAGAAAAUGUGUUUUCCAACAUAUAUGGCUGAAUUACUCCAACAUUACAAGAUACAUACAGUUUUAAUUCAAUUUUAUUUAUAUAACGCCAAUUACAGGUCAAAUUGUCUCAAGAUGCCUUAUUUUUAUAUUUUUUUUGUCAUAUUUAAAAUAUGACAAAGUAAGAAAUUUUAACCUCUUGACUAAUCCAAUUUAUUAUUUGGUUUUUAAGAGACUAAUGGACAACUAAAAUAACUUUCUCCACUAAAACUAAUAAACACGAGGUCAAAUAGAAGGAAGCGUUUUAAAUACUGCAGUCCCACGACGACAAGAAUAAAGUUUGUCAACACAAACUAAAUCUGCUGGUGGAUUCCAUUAAAGUCCAAAUAAAUGAUAAUAAAGUGUGAUACUAAAGGUUUGUGGUGCUAAAAAUAUCAAAGAUAUCAAGUUGAACAUCUGGAUGGAGGUUGAUAAAAGUUGACGUCCCUUUAUUUCUGUGGACCUGACUCCAUGGAUUUUAUGGAUGGUGGUUAAAGACCUGCUCUUCUAGUCGUCGUCCUUCUAGUCGCUGUAAAAAGUCAGUCCAUCCUGACCAACUUGAACACCUCUUCAUGACAA